CGUAGGUGGCAAGCGUUGUCCGGAUUUAUUGGGUUUAAAGGGUGCGUAGGCGGUUUUCUAAGUCAGCAGUGAAAUACGGCAGCUCAACUGUCGAGGUGCUGUUGGUACUGGGGAACUUGAGUACUGAUGAGGUAGGCGGAAUGGACGGUGUAGCGGUGAAAUGCUUAGAGAUCGUCCAGAACACCGAUAGCGAAGGCAGCUUACUAAGGAGUAACUGACGCUGAGGCACGAAAGUGUGGGGAUCAAACAGGAUUAGAUACCCUGGUAGUCCACACUGUAAACGAUGAUUACUCGAUGUGUGCGAUACACGGCACGCGUCUUAGCAAAAGCGAUAAGUAAUCCACCUGGGGAGUACGCCGGCAACGGUG
rnacentral:rRNA from 1 species